CCUGAGAAACCCAAAAGAUCGAAUGGGGAGAUUCAUCGUCAGCUCAUUUUGUAUAUGUAUAAGUUAUGAUGCGGGUUACUACUUGUAGUAUUGCCUGCACAUUCUUGUAUAUUUAGUUGCAAGAUGUUGUCGGCGUGCACUUCUCCCCUAGUAGGACGUCGCGACCUGUUGUGUGUCGGUCUACGGCCCAAGUGAUAGCCUUUAAUGUAAUUUAAAAAACAUUGAAGAUCCUUGGUGUUUUCUGACCGGCUACUUGGCAGUAUUCGUACGGUAUUUAGCCGCUUAAAUUUAUUAAGCGUCCAUAUCCAUCACAAGCGAGACUAAUUUACUGAUAGUACGGACAUAGUGCCGUCGUUGGUAUUAGCCAGCUGUUGGUUGAUGGUAUUCUAGGACUGGCUAAAAUUAAUUACCGGUCGGCGAUGCUACUGCUUUGGGUACUUUCAG
rnacentral:rRNA from 1 species